CCUUCUAAAUGUUGUUGGGAUGGUUAAUUAUUUGGGUUCGGAUGUAUCAUUGAACACAUUACAUGGCCAUAUCUAACAAAAUAAUAAAUACUUUUCCGUUUCAAUCGCAUGAUUGAACAAGAUUGCCAGCGCAUUCCAUGCCUGACUCGGCGAUUUCGCGUCUUUGAUAUGACCGAUCAUCUCCUUCGUUACGGUCAUCUUUAGGACGUAUAAGGCUCUCUCCGCCUUCUGGUUCCACACUGGUCUCAAAUCUGACUGUCUGGGUGAGACUGUUUAUGUGCCACCCGUGACUUUCCAAAAAUCAUGCACCUUCAAAUACGACGUUGUGCAUGUCGACCAAUAUGAAUACUUGGUCGAGUUCAGCUUUUCGCCAACCAGGUUAGAGAUUGACACAUCUGCCAUGGCUCUCAACCGGCUACUAAGCACUCUUGGAAAGAACAAGACUCGUUUUUCGACAGUCCUUCAUACUUUCGUUCUGACUAAAAGCCUAAAUGGUCUUUGAAUAUUAGUUGUUAGACUGCAACAAAAUCACCGAUAUUAGAUAACAAUCAAUAUAUGGUUAUAAUAUGUAUGUAAUGGA
rnacentral:lncRNA from 1 species